AUGCUCACUUUAGCAGCAUGUGGACUGAAAUUGGAACAACACAGAGAAGAUUAACAUGGCCUUGCACCAGGAUGACAUGCAAAUCUGUUGUUUCAUACCUUA
rfam:Erinaceus europaeus unplaced genomic scaffold scaffold00890, whole genome shotgun sequence